UAACUGGGAAACUGGUCCACCAUGGGCAUGUCCGUGAAUGUAAAGUCCACUGGAAUGUGGCAGCGCUUCGGCGUUCUUUGGGUCAGAGAGGGUGAAAACCCCGUUUACAUUCAUUGUGGGGCGUGUCUGUUGUGUGGGCGUGUUGAAGAGUCGGAUUGUUUGGGAAUGCAAUCCAAAACGGGUGGUAAAUUCCAUCCAAGACUAAAUAUUAGCAAGAGACCGAUAGCGAACAAGUACCGUGAGGGAAAGAUGAAAAGCUCUCUGAAUAGAGAGUGAAAAAUUACGUGAAAUU
rnacentral:rRNA from 1 species